CGGAGCCGUUGAUCAAAGAAGAGCCUUUGAAGCCAUGGAUUACAUUGAAACGGAAUAUAAAGAACGUAAAGUAUUUGCCAUCAAUGGUUGAUAUAAGCUUUAAGAAUAGAUACGUUUAUGUUGAUGUUGGAGCUAGGAGUUACGGCUCUAGUAUUGGCAGUUGGUUCAGGAAGCAAUAUCCAAAACAGAAUAGGACUUUUGAUGUGUAUGCAAUUGAGGCUGAUAAGACUUUUCAUGAAGAGUAUAGGGUGAAGAAAGGGGUUACAUUAUUGCCAUAUGCAGCUUGGGUGAGGAAUGAGACGUUGUCUUUCGAAAUUAAUCACGACCCUGGUCAGGAAGUCAAGGAUAAAGGGAGAGGAAUGGGGAGAAUUCAGUCAGUAAAAUUGUCAAAACAGGAUGAUGAGAGUUUUAAUGGAGAGGUGGAUGAGAUACAGGGCUUUGAUUUUGCAAUGUGGUUGAAGAAGACUGUAACAGAGAAGGACUUUGUGGUGAUGAAAAUGGAUGUAGAAGGGACUGAGUUUGAUUUGAUACCGCGGCUGUUUAAGACUGGAGCUAUUUGUUUGAUUGAUGAAAUCUUUCUUGAAUGCCAUUACAAUAGGUGGCAAAGAUGUUGCCCUGGACAGAGGAGCACCAAAUAUGAGAAAACUUAUGGACAAUGCUUAGGGCUGUUUACUUCUUUGAGAGAGAGUGGAAUUCUUGUUCAUCAGUGGUGGUGAUUGGUAACAGUUCUAUAAAUCUAUUGUAACAUUUUAGGGGUUUUUUUAAUUAAAAAAAGAAAAAGAAAUAUUACAAUAGAUUUAUAGAACUGUUACCAA
rnacentral:misc_RNA from 1 species